AUGGUGAAGAACCCACAAGGUGCCUGAGCUCGUCAAACCGGCUCGGGUGAAAAAGGGAAGUCCGGUGAAAAUCCGGCACGGUGCCCGCCACUGUGAUGGGGAGCUUUGCGGCAACAAGUCACUGAAGAGAACUUCGGGAAGGCGCCGCAAGCGAUGAUCCUAAGUCAGGAGACCUGCCUUGUUUGGGUCGGACGG
rnacentral:ncRNA from 2 species